rnacentral:lncRNA from 1 species
AAGAUAUCUUUCCCAGAGUCUCCCAAACAUUCCUUCCAGGGAAACAAGCCAUGUAAAAAGAUCCGCCUGCGUCUUAGCUGUUAGGAGAAGCCAAGAGAAAGAUGGCGGACAGCCGCAGCAGCCACAGCUCCAGGUCAAUACAGCCUGUGCCUGUAUCAAUUAAGACCUUCAUCGAUCACCUCGAUCUACAUUAAGUCUAAAAAGUAUCUGGACCUUCCACCCAUUUCUCCUGGAUCUCCCCACUGAGACCAAGAAGAACAAGGCUAGUCUUUCGUAUGGAAUGAAUAUAAAACUUUCCAUCAAGUUGGUUGACUUCUUUGGGACACUCUCCAGCUGGUCAAUGUCCCUCUUAACCAGGGGCAAGAAGAAUUGAAAGCAAAUAGCUAGACAUGUGUGACAAGGGCAAGGUCCAUGGAGACCAUCACCUCGCUGGGCGUGGACUCUGGAUCUCUUAAUGGAGUCUAAUAGUGUGCUCUUUGGGGCUGCUAUGUUAGUAAUACACAUAUUGAGAUUGCCAUAAAAUUGCCAGCUCUUUUAAAGACAAAUUUCCAUCUGGCCAUUCUUACUCCCAUAUUAUACUUGGGAAGUUGGUUUUUGGAGCUAGAUUGUAAGAACUUACAUUUUUCCUAUUAAAUUUCAU